rnacentral:rRNA from 1 species
GAUGAACGCUGGCGGCGUGCUUAACACAUGCAAGUCGAACGAUUAAAGCCCCUUCGGGGGUGUAUAGAGUGGCGAACGGGUGAGUAACACGUGGGCAAUCUGCCCCUCACUUCGGGAUAACUCAGAGAAAUUUGAGCUAAUACCGAAUACUCCGGUCGGACCGCAUGGUCUGAUCGGGAAAGCUCCGACGGUGAGGGAUGAGCCCGCGGCCCAUUAGCUUGUUGGUAGGGUAAUGGCCUACCAAGGCGACGAUGGGUAGCCGCGCUGAGAGGCGGAUCGGCCACACUGGGACGGAGACACGGCCCAGACUCCUACGGGAGGCAGCAGUGGGGAAUUUUGCGCAAUGGGCGAAAGCCUGACGCAGCAACGCCGCGUGGAGGAUGAAGGCCUUCGGGUCGUAAACUCCUGUCGAUGGGGACGAAGUACCGCGAGGUAUUGACUGUACCCGUUGAGGAAGCCACGGCUAACUCCGUGCCAGCCGCCGCAGUAAAAC